rnacentral:misc_RNA from 1 species
GCAAACUUGGUCAUUUAGAGGAAGUACAAGUCGUAACAAGGUAUCCGUAGGUGAACCUGCGGAUGGAUCAUUACCAAAGGAUUAACUUCCAACGUAUUGUGAACUGUUUUGACUGACAGUCAGUGAUUGUUCGCUCCUCGGAGCUAGCAUUUACUGACUGUACAAACUUAAACGUACUUUUUAAACUGAACUUCUGUAGUAUUGAACUAUAGACAACUUUUAGCAAUGGAUCUCUUGGUUCUCGCAUCGAUGAAGAACGCAGC